AUUGAACGCUGGCGGCAGGCCUAACACAUGCAAGUCGAACGGUAGCACAGAGAGCUUGCUCUCGGGUGACGAGUGGCGGACGGGUGAGUAACGUCUGGGAAACUGCCCGAUGGAGGGGGAUAACUACUGGAAACGGUAGCUAAUACCGCAUAACGUCGCAAGACCAAAGUGGGGGACCUUCGGGCCUCACACCAUCGGAUGUGCCCAGAUGGGAUUAGCUAGUAGGUGGGGUAAUGGCUCACCUAGGCGACGAUCCCUAGCUGGUCUGAGAGGAUGACCGGCCACACUGGAAAUGAGACACGGUCCAGACUCCUACGGGAGGCAGCAGUGGGGAAUAUUGCACAAUGGGCGCAAGCCUGAUGCAGCCAUGCCGCGUGUAUGAAGAAGGCCUUCGGGUUGUAAAGUACUUUCAGCGGGGAGGAAGGCGGUGAAGUUAAUAGCUUCACCGAUUGACGUUACCCGCAGAAGAAGCACCGGCUAACUCCGUGCCAGCCGCCGCAGUAA
rnacentral:rRNA from 1 species